rnacentral:rRNA from 2 species
GGGUUGUGAGGUUAAGCGACUAAGCGUACACGGUGGAUGCCCUGGCAGUCAGAGGCGAUGAAGGACGUGCUAAUCUGCGAAAAGCGUCGGUAAGGUGAUAUGAACCGUUAUAACCGGCGAUGUCCGAAUGGGGAAACCCAGUGCAAUUCGUUGCACUAUCGUUAACUGAAUACAUAGGUUAACGAGGCGAACCGGGGGAACUGAAACAUCUAAGUACCCCGAGGAAAAGAAAUCAACCGAGAUUCCCCCAGUAGCGGCGAGCGAACGGGGAGCAGCCCAGAGUCUGAAUCAGCUUGUGUGUUAGUGGAACGGUCUGGAAAGUCCGACGGUACAGGGUGAUAGUCCCGUACACCAAAAUGCACAGGCUGUGAACUCGAAGAGUAGGGCGGGACACGUGGUAUCCUGUCUGAAUAUGGGGGGACCAUCCUCCAAGGCUAAAUACUCCUGACUGACCGAUAGUGAACCAGUACCGUGAGGGAAAGGCGAAAAGAACCCCGGCGAGGGGAGUGAAAAAGAACCUGAAACCGUGUACGUACAAGCAGUGGGAGCACCUUCGGGUGUGACUGCGUACCUUUUGUAUAAUGGGUCAGCGACUUAUAUUCUGUAGCAAGGUUAACCGUAUAGGGGAGCCGCAGGGAAACCGAGUCUUAACUGGGCGUUAAGUUGCAGGGUAUAGACCCGAAACCCGGUGAUCUAGCCAUGGGCAGGUUGAAGGUUGGGUAACACUAACUGGAGGACCGAACCGACUAAUGUUGAAAAAUUAGCGGAUGACUUGUGGCUGGGGGUGAAAGGCCAAUCAAACCGGGAGAUAGCUGGUUCUCCCCGAAAGCUAUUUAGGUAGCGCCUCGUGAAUUCAUCUUCGGGGGUAGAGCACUGUUUCGGCUAGGGGGUCAUCCCGACUUACCAACCCGAUGCAAACUACGAAUACCGAAGAAUGUUAUCACGGGAGACACACGGCGGGUGCUAACGUCCGUCGUGAAGAGGGAAACAACCCAGACCGCCAGCUAAGGUCCCAAAGUCAUGGUUAAGUGGGAAACGAUGUGGGAAGGCACAGACAGCCAGGAUGUUGGCUUAGAAGCAGCCAUCAUUUAAAGAAAGCGUAAUAGCUCACUGGUCGAGUCGGCCUGCGCGGAAGAUGUAACGGGGCUAAACCAUGCACCGAAGCUGCGGCAGCGACACUAUGUGUUGUUGGGUAGGGGAGCGUUCUGUAAGCCUGCGAAGGUGACCUGUGAGGGUUGCUGGAGGUAUCAGAAGUGCGAAUGCUGACAUAAGUAACGAUAAAGCGGGUGAAAAGCCCGCUCGCCGGAAGACCAAGGGUUCCUGUCCAACGUUAAUCGGGGCAGGGUGAGUCGACCCCUAAGGCGAGGCCGAAAGGCGUAGUCGAUGGGAAACAGGUUAAUAUUCCUGUACUUGGUGUUACUGCGAAGGGGGGACGGAGAAGGCUAUGUUAGCCGGGCGACGGUUGUCCCGGUUUAAGCAUGUAGGCUGGUUAUCCAGGCAAAUCCGGAUAAUCAAGGCUGAGGUGUGAUGACGAGGCACUACGGUGCUGAAGUAACAAAUGCCCUGCUUCCAGGAAAAGCCUCUAAGCAUCAGGUAACAUCAAAUCGUACCCCAAACCGACACAGGUGGUCAGGUAGAGAAUACCAAGGCGCUUGAGAGAACUCGGGUGAAGGAACUAGGCAAAAUGGUGCCGUAACUUCGGGAGAAGGCACGCUGGUGUGUAGGUGAAGUCCCUGCGGAUGGAGCUGAGACCAGUCGAAGAUACCAGCUGGCUGCAACUGUUUAUUAAAAACACAGCACUGUGCAAACACGAAAGUGGACGUAUACGGUGUGACGCCUGCCCGGUGCCGGAAGGUUAAUUGAUGGGGUUAUCCGUAAGGAGAAGCUCUUGAUCGAAGCCCCGGUAAACGGCGGCCGUAACUAUAACGGUCCUAAGGUAGCGAAAUUCCUUGUCGGGUAAGUUCCGACCUGCACGAAUGGCGUAAUGAUGGCCAGGCUGUCUCCACCCGAGACUCAGUGAAAUUGAACUCGCUGUGAAGAUGCAGUGUACCCGCGGCAAGACGGAAAGACCCCGUGAACCUUUACUAUAGCUUGACACUGAACAUUGAGCCUUGAUGUGUAGGAUAGGUGGGAGGCUUUGAAGCGUGGACGCCAGUCUGCGUGGAGCCAACCUUGAAAUACCACCCUUUAAUGUUUGAUGUUCUAACGUUGGCCCCUGACCGGGGUUGCGGACAGUGUCUGGUGGGUAGUUUGACUGGGGCGGUCUCCUCCCAAAGCGUAACGGAGGAGCACGAAGGUUAGCUAAUCCUGGUCGGACAUCAGGAGGUUAGUGCAAUGGCAUAAGCUAGCUUGACUGCGAGCGUGACGGCGCGAGCAGGUGCGAAAGCAGGUCAUAGUGAUCCGGUGGUUCUGAAUGGAAGGGCCAUCGCUCAACGGAUAAAAGGUACUCCGGGGAUAACAGGCUGAUACCGCCCAAGAGUUCAUAUCGACGGCGGUGUUUGGCACCUCGAUGUCGGCUCAUCACAUCCUGGGGCUGAAGUAGGUCCCAAGGGUAUGGCUGUUCGCCAUUUAAAGUGGUACGCGAGCUGGGUUUAGAACGUCGUGAGACAGUUCGGUCCCUAUCUGCCGUGGGCGCUGGAGAAUUGAGGGGGGCUGCUCCUAGUACGAGAGGACCGGAGUGGACGCAUCACUGGUGUUCGGGUUGUCAUGCCAAUGGCACUGCCCGGUAGCUAAAUGCGGAAGAGAUAAGUGCUGAAAGCAUCUAAGCACGAAACUUGCCCCGAGAUGAGUUCUCCCUGAGACUUUAAGUCUCCUGAAGGAACGUUAAAGACGAUGACGUUGAUAGGCCGGGUGUGUAAGCGCAGCGAUGCGUUGAGCUAACCGGUACUAAUGAACCGUGAGGCUUAACCUUACAACGCCGAAG